rnacentral:tRNA from 1 species
GGAAGGAUGGCCGAGUGGUUUAAGGCGCUAGUCUUGAAAACUAGUAUAGGGGAAACUCUAUCGGGGGUUCAAAUCCCUCUCCUUCCG